GGAGACAGAGUGAAUGCAGCUUGCACUGCUGUGCUUUGGAAUUACAGCUAUGAACAUUGUUAGGUACUUGAAAAAGAAAGGAAAGCAAAGGAGAAAAAGGACAGAGUGUAGAAGAGAAACAUUACAGAGCCUCUUGAUGCUCGACGCUGAAGAGAGUGUGUGAGAAGGAAAAGAGGAGGCGCACCAGAGGAGCUUCACACGAUCCUCUCAUCUCCAGUUCCUGAGCAGAUCGGCCUGUUGUCCCUCAUCACUUGAGGUCGUCAUUGGAACUGCGUCUCACCGUGUGUAUCUGUGUACAGUGUGCAGUGCUCCAAACAGGCUCUGCUCAGAAUGGCUCCACAGAGCAGGGAUUGUGUUAACCUGAGGUGGACCACUCUCACACAGGGAACAGUCCAUCUCACCAGAGAGUUUUACGCUUUGAUGAGGCUGUUAUUUGACACAACCAUCUACAAUUAGUCAUUCUGGGAACCCAUGGCCAGGUCCAGAUGAAUCUGCUACAAAUCCCUUGUCUGUUGUGUGUUUGUUUGCAGCCUUGGUUUUAAGCAACGCAAGGCCACGAGACUCUGAUGAGGAAAUUCUCUCUGGUGUCAUCUCCGGCUCUGUUUGCUUCCACGGACGUCGGAGCAGCCAUAACUCGACCUGCCUCCUUCCAAGAGGUGCUGUUCCUAGGAGAGAGGGAGUGUGUGGCGUGCCAAAGCUCAUUCCUGAAAUCCUGAAGGGAGGAGCCGUGGGAAUUAGAGGGAUAGCUGGAUUGAUGAGGGUGCUGGAGAACAGCGUGUGAGCGCUGGGCUCCAUAAUCAGUUCAUCCUUCCAGACACUUGAGCUCUGGAGGAUUUUUGCUCUGAGAUUUUAUAUCUUUCACUAUAUGUUUUGAAUAUUUUCUAGUUUCUUUGCUCAAGUCGAUGCUCCCCUUCAUCAAAUGUGGCAGGUGGGCCUGAGGAACAAUUCUCUGUGAAACUAAAAGUAACAAUGUGUAAGGUAGUGUGAGGAAAGCAGGGUAAAAGUGCUGACUGGUCUUGGAGCGUUUGAGUUGGAGACUUAGAAGGCCUGUGUAGCAAUGGAUGAGAACUUGUGCCGAGGGUUGACAGGAAGAGGCAGCUAGACGGCAAUGCAUAACCGAAGCCUCUAUGUGUGCACAGGAGAGUGCGUUUGUGUACGACUAUGCAUGCAGGAGCAUGUGAUUGUUUCUUGGAGUGCAGAAUUCUGAGAAUUGGCCAUUAUUGCCGCUCCCUCCUAUUUUUGUGCUGGAGCCGGGAGGGUCAACAUUAACAGCGAGAGAGGGAGAGGGACGGAUACAGCAAAAUAAAUAAAUAAAUAAAAUAUAACA
ensembl:lncRNA